CAGUGUCGCAGGCAGAAUAACGCUGCCAGCCACCGAUGCAUGUGUCCUUAUCCCUGGAAUCAUGAAUAUGUCGGGUCACGUGGCAGAGCGGAACUGAGGCUGCUGAUCAACUGACCUGGAGACGUUGGCAGGUGAUAUAUCUGUGCCGCUUCAAACAACUGAGUUGUCAUGGCUUGAUACAGUAGCAUUUGGAGAUUAAACAGAUGUCCUUUAUCAAUUCCAAGAGGCUCCCUUCGAUUCCAGUUUUGCCCAUUUAAAGUAGACAUGACAUACUCAUUUCUUCAAUAGAAGAUUAGAACAGAAAUCAGAGAAAAGAGAGAGAGAUUAUUGGGACCUUAAGAAGUCAAGAUUCUGGCUUAAGAAAAUAUGCUGACCAAGAAUAAGAUGACUCUGAGCUGCAAGAGCCAGAGAAAAACAGGAGGAAGAAUGAGAGACCCCUGAGGAGCUAGGAAGCAGGACCCCAAAGCCAGAGGACAGACAGCAACGGGCUCUGCUUGGAAGGAGCAGGGAAGACAAACGCCACAGCAGAGAUGAGAGAACACAACGGGCCGGAUUUGAAA